AACGAACGCUGGCGGCAUGCCUAACACAUGCAGGUCGAACGAGACCUUCGGGUCUAGUGGCGCACGGGUGCGUAACGCGUGGGAACCUGCCCUUAGGUUCGGAAUAACUCCCCGAAAGGGGUGCUAAUACCGGAUAAUGUCUUCGGACCAAAGAUUUAUCGCCUUUGGAUGGGCCCGCGUUGGAUUAGCUAGUUGGUAGGGUAAAAGCCUACCAAGGCGACGAUCCAUAGCUGGUCUGAGAGGAUGAUCAGCCACACUGGGACUGAGACACGGCCCAGACUCCUACGGGAGGCAGCAGUGGGGAAUAUUGGACAAUGGGCGAAAGCCUGAUCCAGCAAUGCCGCGUGAGUGAUGAAGGCCUUAGGGUUGUAAAGCUCUUUUACCCGGGAUGAUAAUGACAGUACCGGGAGAAUAAGCUCCGGCUAACUCCGUA
rnacentral:rRNA from 1 species